UGCGCAGGCGGGUUAUUAAGUCAGUGGUGAAAUCUCUCGGCUCAACCGAGAAACUGCCAUUGAAACUGAUAAUCUUGAGUAUAGUUGUAGUAGGCGGAAUAUAGCAUGUAGCGGUGAAAUGCUUAGAUAUGCUAUAGAACACCGAUCGCGAAGGCAGCUUACUAAACUAUUACUGACGCUCAUGCACGAAAGCGUGGGGAGCAAACAGGAUUAGAUACCCUGGUAGUCC
rnacentral:rRNA from 1 species